rnacentral:misc_RNA from 1 species
CUUUGCCUCACCCUAAAUGCGUACAGCUCUCUCCUAGCUUUGAACUUAAUGCUUCCCUUCUUUCCCUCAUAUCCUAUUACCUAAGGAUAUAUUUGUGUUUUGACAUGAAAAAGUAAAGCAGAAAGGGCUUCUCUCUCUAUCAAUCCAUGGAUUUGAAUCAGUCAAUCGAGUUCAAUCUUUCUUCCACCACAUCUCCACAAGUGCACAGUUUCAUGCCAAUGUCUUCUGUCUUGAUUUCUAAUUACCAUCACCCAACAAAUGAGGGUUGUAAAGAGGCUAGGAAGUCUCGUUUUAUGCAAGUGCAGAAGCAAAAUUUGGAGAGAUUUUGGAAUCAACAAUUGCUGGAGAUUCAGAAUACUUCAGGUUAUUAAUUUCUUUUGGUUUAAUUAAUAACAUAAGUAUUUAAAUAUAUAUGUAUCCAUUUACUAAUUUGUACCCAUGUUUGGGUGCCUCGUGAUCAAUCUAAGCGUUUAAGAGCCAUCAUCAACUUCCUCUAGCAAGGAUCAAAAGGAUCAUGAAAUAUGAUGGAGAAGUGAAGAUGAUCAGCGCAGAAACUCCUCUAUUGUUCUCAAAAGCAUGUGAGCUCUUCAUCUUGGAGCUCACUCUUCGCUCAUGGCUGCAAACUGAAGAAUGUAAGCGUGGAACGCUUCAGUGUUGUGACAUUGCUAGAGCUAUAAGGGUCAAUGAUACUCUUGAUUUCUUGGUUAAGCUUGUCCCUUAUGACCAUCACAAAAAGGAUGAUGAGACUGGAAACUGUGGUGAAGACCUUGAACCUCUUCCUGCAAUUCAAGUUCCAUUUCCUAUGAUAGACAUUAAUGAGUGAACAAAGUAUAGCGGAAAUCAAUGAUGGAAGAGUGUAGCAAAUAACAAUCAUCGUUUAAUCUUGUGAUUGGCGAUGAAAUGGAUGGAUUCAUAUCAGACGUUAAGUAUAUAUACAUAUAGAAUCAUUUUGCACAAUUCUGUUUUAUACUUUCAGUUUGUUUCACACUUUCAGUUUGUUUUGCAAAAUUCUUAUAAUGUUAUUUCUAAAUUGAAGUGGAUAUUCUUAAUUAUAUUAGAAUUGAUGAGCUAUUAGUAUAAAUAUGAGUAUUAUCUAGAGAUUUUUUAGGUUUUCGUCCAUUGCAGAGGGGCUAUUGUUUAUUAAGGAGAGUAGCUUUUACCUAUAGAAAUAGUAGCUUUUGCCUAUUACAAUCCCGUUGAGUGAGAGAAGUUUCGGCUAGGUGGAUAAAGGAUAUAGUUGGGUUUUGUGCAGAGAAGAAUGAGAAAGACUAAUUAAUGUAUUUACUAUGAUAGUAAGUAUUUUUUUAGGUGUAAUUGGGUUGAUAAUUAGAUAUAUUUGAAUUUAUAAUUAUUUAAAUGAUAUAUUUGAGUUUGUAAUUAUUUAAAAGAUAGUUUGUUUGUUUUGUUUAUCUAUGGUUUAUAGGGCACAACAAUAGAAUAAAUAGAUGAAAAGGUAAGAGACGGUGAGCAGAUAAAUAGAUGGAAAGGCAGGAGGCAAUGAGCGGCGGAGUCAUCGUAGUCAUGGAGAGGGGGAGGAGUCGUUGGAUCGGCAAAUUUGAAAGAAGAUAAUAGGGAGGAAGAGAAAAACAAUGAGAGGCAAAUACUAAAUACAGAGAAAGAGAGAGGGGGAACGAAUUUGCGAAGAGAAUGGUUCCCACUAGCUAAAUAGAACAAUGCUGAUAGCAAGCAGCCAAGAAGAGGAAGGUAUGGCCAUAUGUGAAUUAUUUGCCUGCCCAGAAAAAGUGGAAUAAAGCAACCAAUCAAUGCCAAAAAAAAGAUGCCUUCUGAACUUCUCUUUGAAAAAUUCUCCAUUUCUCUUUUAAUUUUCAAUACAAUACACAGCGAUACACAAUUCACCACCAAUUGGUUUGAUUUAUAUGGUCAAAAAAUAAAAAUAAUUGAACUUAAUGCUUUUUGAGGAGAAUAG